GAAAUGCGAUACUUGGUGUGAAUUGCAGAAUCCCGUGAACCAUCGAGUCUUUGUCGUGCUAAGCCCGUGCGUAUGCUGGGUGCCGCUUAGAUCGUGUUUCUCGUUGUUGCUACCCAACUAUGAAAUUACUCACAACCUCACAUCAGGUAAGAUAACCCGCUGAACUUAA
rnacentral:misc_RNA from 1 species